GAAAUGCGAUAAUUAAUGUGAAUUGCAGAAUUCAGUGAAUCAUCGAGUCUUUGAACGCACAUUGCGCCCCCUGGUAUUCCGGGGGGCAUGCCUGUCCGAGCGUCAUUGCUGCCCUCAAGCACGGCUUGUGUGUUGGGCUUCCGUCCCUGGCAACGGGACGGGCCCAAAAGGCAGUGGCGGCACCAUGUCUGGUCCUCGAGCGUAUGGGGCUUUGUCACCCGCUCCCGUAGGUCCAGCUGGCAGCUAGCCUCGCAACCAAUCUUUUUAACCAGGUUGACCUCGGAUCAGGUAGGGAUACCCGCUGAACUUAAGC
rnacentral:misc_RNA from 1 species